UAAGGAAUAUUGGUCAAUGGACGCAAGUCUGAACCAGCCAUGCCGCGUGAAGGAUGAAGGUCCUCUGGAUUGUAAACUUCUUUUAUAUGGGACGAAAAAAGGGCAUUCUUGCUCACUUGACGGUACCAUAGGAAUAAGCACCGGCUAACUCCGUGCCAGCAGCCGCGGUAAUACGGAGGGUGCGAGCGUUAUCCGGAUUUACUGGGUUUAAAGGGUGCGUAGGUGGGCAGGUAAGUCAGUGGUGAAAUCUCCGGGCUUAACCCGGAAACUGCCAUUGAUACUAUCUGUCUUGAAUAUCCUGGAGGUGAGCGGAAUAUGUCAUGUAGCGGUGAAAUGCUUAGAUAUGACAUAGAACACCGAUUGCGAAGGCAGCUCACUACGGGGUCAUUGACACUGAGGCACGAAAGCGUGGGGAUCAAACAGG
rnacentral:rRNA from 1 species